rnacentral:rRNA from 1 species
GACGUAGGGUGCAAGCGUUGUCCGGAUUUAUUGGGCGUAAAGAGUGCGCAGGCGGUCGAUCAAGUCGAGUGUGAAAGCCCCCGGCUCAACUGGGGAGGGUCAUUCGAUACUGGUCGACUCGAAGGCAGGAGAGGGUAGUGGAAUUCCCGGUGUAGUGGUGAAAUGCGUAGAUAUCGGGAGGAACACCAGUGGCGAAGGCGACUACCUGGCCUGUUCUUGACGCUGAGGCGCGAAAGCUAGGGGAGCAAACGGG